rnacentral:rRNA from 1 species
CAGUAGCCACGGGAAUACGGAGGGUGCAAGCGUUAAUCGGAAUUACUGGGCGUAAAGCGUGCGUAGGCGGUUCGUUAAGUCUGUUGUGAAAGCCCCGGGCUCAACCUGGGAAUGGCAAUGGAUACUGGCGAGCUAGAGUGUGUCAGAGGAUGGUGGAAUUCCCGGUGUAGCGGUGAAAUGCGUAGAGAUCGGAAGGAACAUCAGUGGCGAAGGCGGCCAUCUGGGACAACACUGACGCUGAGGCACGAAAGCGUGGGGAGCAAACAGGAUUAGAUACCCCGGUAGUCCCUGUCUCUUAUAC